rnacentral:rRNA from 1 species
CCUACGGGCGGCAGCAGUAGGGAAUCUUCCACAAUGGGCGCAAGCCUGAUGGAGCAACACCGCGUGAGUGAAGAAGGGUUUCGGCUCGUAAAGCUCUGUUGUUGGAGAAGAACGUGCGUGAGAGUAACUGUUCACGCAGUGACGGUACUCAACCAGAAAGUCACGGCUAACUACGUGCCAGCAGCCGCGGUAAUACGUAGGUGGCAAGCGUUAUCCGGAUUUAUUGGGCGUAAAGCUAGCGCAGGCGGACGCAUAGGUCUGAUGUGAAAUGCUUCGGCUUAACCGCAGAAGUGCAUCGGAAACCGGGCGACUUGAGUGCAGAAGAGGACAGUGGAACUCCAGGUGUAGCGGUGGAAUGCGUAGAUAUAUGGAAGAACACCAGUGGCGAAGGCGGCUGUCUGGUCUGCAACUGACGCUGAGGCUCGAAAGCAUGGGGAGCGAACAGGAUUAGAUACCCUUGUAGUC